CGACGAGUGGCGAACGGGUGAGUAAUAUAUCGGAACGUGCCCAGUAUGGGGGAUAGCCCGGCGAAAGCCGGAUUAAUACCGCAUACGACCUACGGGUGAAAGCGGGGGAUCGUAAGACCUCGCGCUAUUGGAGCGGCCGAUAUCAGAUUAGGUAGUUGGUGGGGUAAAAGCCUACCAAGCCGACGAUCUGUAGCUGGUCUGAGAGGACGACCAGCCACACUGGGACUGAGACACGGCCCAG
rnacentral:rRNA from 1 species